UACAGAGGUCUCAAGCGUUGUUCGGAUUCAUUGGGCGUAAAGGGUGCGUAGGCGGCGCGGUAAGUCGGGUGUGAAAUCUUGGAGCUUAACUCCGAAACUGCAUUCGAUACUGCCGUGCUUGAGGACUGGAGAGGAGACUGGAAUUUACGGUGUAGCGGUGAAAUGCGUAGAUAUCGGGAGGAACACCAGUGGCGAAGGCGGUUGCCUGGGGCUUUGCUGACGCUGAUGCGCGAAAGCGUGGGGAGCGAUCCGG
rnacentral:rRNA from 1 species